AAUGAGACAAAGUGCAUCCCAAAGUGCCCUAAUUCAUUCAAUUAGGAAAGUGCAGUUGAAAGUCACCUUUCCUAAUUGUUCCUUAACCUUAUCCUCUCAUUCAUCGAUUUAGAGCUUCAAAUCUGCAUUUGUGCUUCGUCGAUGAGCUGAAACUUCUCUGUAACAACUAAGUUCUUUCUUCCCGAUCCUUUCUUCUAUUGCUUAUACCAAUGGGUUGAGCCACACAGCUAAUACCACCACCUCGUAUAAGAAAUCGAAUCUAGAAAUGAGAAAUGAACUGAUUCUAAUAUGUAUAUUGUGUGUCAGGUGGUUGAACUAAUUUUUUCUGAAUAAUUUUGGAUCUGACCUAUUUUUGUUUGAAUAUUUGGCCAUCAACACUCCAAUUUGCCCUGAGCGCAGGUUAUAUAUUCAUGGAAAUCGCUUCCAACAAAAGUGGAAAUGCGGGUUGUCUUGAGGACGUCACACACAGACUCAAAUUCAGAUCGCAAAUUUUAUAACUGUGCAACUGCGAAGGAUAAUGGCGCAUGCUCGUUUUUUAAAUGGCUUGAUUAGGUAUCACCUCCAAGCAGUCCAUCAACGUUGAGUCCGGACCCAAGACAUUAAAUUUUCAUGGCGUGAAAAAAUUUAAUCUACUACAAAGGCUCCGAGAAUACGAAGAAAAUAGAGAUUUCCUUAUGACUUUGUUCAAUGAAGCCGAAUGGCAGAGGAAUCACUUGAAAGUAUUGCUAUAAGACACCCAAAUAGAGAGAAAUUAACUACAACAAAAUUAAUUUUCACCAAAGAAAGGGAGAAUGGCCUAAAAAUAAUGUUAUGUGGUAUAAUGCUAGUAUUCGUUGUUUGAAAAGGUGUAACAUAGAUGUAGUGAGAUUGAAUAAAUAAAAAUACUUUUAUUUUUCUAGAA